UACGAAGGGGGCUAGCGUUGCUCGGAAUCACUGGGCGUAAAGGGCGCGUAGGCGGCGUUUUAAGUCGGGGGUGAAAUCCUGGAGCUCAACUCCAGAACUGCCUUCGAUACUGGAAGUCUUGAGUCCGGGAGAGGUGAGUGGAACUGCGAGUGUAGAGGUGAAAUUCGUAGAUAUUCGCAAGAACACCAGUGGCGAAGGCGGCUCACUGGCCCGGUACUGACGCUGAGGUGCGAAAGCGAUGGGGAGCAAGCUAG
rnacentral:rRNA from 1 species